AUGGUUUUGGAUGAUUCAAAAGCCUAAAUCGCUUAGAAUCUCGCCCUCUUUCAUAAUCCUAGCUUUGUUUUGAGUGGGGAGCAUUGUGGAGAGGGAUAUUGGCUCUCAAAAAUUCGGCCCUUUGGUGAAAAUUGGGGUUUUGAGAGUUUCUACCUCCAUUGAAGCUUGAGGAGCCAUCAAUCCUUGGUUGUGUGACCAUUGGUGGAUUGAGACAUUUGGACCAACCGUGAGUGAUCAACCAUUGGAGCAAGCUAUGGAGCUUGAAUAGCUCAUUGGAAUUGGUGUAUGUUUGUAAAAGUUGAUUGCUGAAACUGUUGGUGAAGAACAAAGGUCGAUUGAAGCAUUGAGGUAAGGAUGCUGCAGGAGCCUCUGGUGGCAAGUGGCCAUAUCUGGAUUAUGCAUGAA